rnacentral:rRNA from 1 species
UACGUAGGUGGCAAGCGUUGUCCGGAAUCAUUGGGCGUAAAGCGCGCGCAGGCGGUCCCUUAAGUCUGAUGUGAAAGCCCACGGCUCAACCGUGGAGGGUCAUUGGAAACUGGGGGACUUGAGUGCAGAAGAGGAAAGCGGAAUUCCAAGUGUAGCGGUGAAAUGCGUAGAGAUUUGGAGGAACACCAGUGGCGAAGGCGGCUUUCUGGUCUGUAACUGACGCUGAGGCGCGAAAGCGUGGGGAGCAAACACG